rnacentral:rRNA from 1 species
UACAGGGGGUGCAAACGUUGCUCGGAAUUAUUGGGCGUAAAGCGCGCGUAGGCGGCUACCUAAGUCGGAUGUGAAAGCCCCUGGCUUAACUGGGGAAGUGCACCCGAAACUGAGUAGCUAGAGUGCGAAAGAGGGUCGCGGAAUUCCCGGUGUAGAGGUGAAAUUCGUAGAUAUCGGGAGGAACACCAGUGGCGAAGGCGGCAACCUGGGCCAAUAUUGACGCUGAGGUGCGAAAGCGUGGGGAGCAAACAGG